UACGGAGGGUGCGAGCGUUAAUCGGCAUUACUGGGCGUAAAGCGUGCGUAGACGGUUAUGUAAGUCAGAUGUGAAAGCCCCGGGCUCAACCUGGGAAUUGCAUUUGAGACUGUGUAGCUAGGGUGCGGAAGAGGGAAGCGGAAUUUCCGGUGUAGCGGUGAAAUGCGUAGAUAUCGGAAGGAACACCAGUGGCGAAAGCGGCUUCCUGGUCCAGCACCGACGUUCAGGCACGAAAGCGUGGGGAGCAAACAGG
rnacentral:rRNA from 1 species